UACGUAGGGUGCGAGCGUUAAUCGGAAUUACUGGGCGUAAAGCGUGCGCAGGCGGUGAUGUAAGACAGUUGUGAAAUCCCCGGGCUCAACCUGGGAACUGCAUUCAAAACUGUCGAGCUAGAGUAUGGUAGAGGGUGGUGGAAUUUCCUGUGCAGCGGUGGAAUGCGUAGAGAUGUGGAGGAACACCGAUGGCGAAGGCAGCCCCCUGGGUCAAGAUUGACGCUCAUGCACGAAAGCGUGGGGAGCAAACAGG
rnacentral:rRNA from 1 species